AAAAAGUAUACAAAGAGAUUAUUAUGGAUCCCUAAGCUAUGUAUUAAAGAGCAACAAGACAAUGAUGUAUAAAAUUUAUUGUACAUGGUAAACUCUUAGAUAAAUUAAAUAAUAAACGAAGGCGAAUUGAAAUAUCUUAGUAGCUUCAGGAAAAGAAAUCAAACGAGAUUCUAUGAUUAGUGUGAACGAAAGUAGAUUAGCCUAUAUACUAUAAAGUAUAUUAAUAAGUAAAAUGGACGCAAAUCUGUUUGAAGAUUAAGGGGAACCUUCCUCUAAGGCUAAAUAUAAUACAUAAGCGACAGUGAAAAGUACCGUGAGGGAACGGGAAUUGAAAUAGUAAUUUUAUAAGCAGCUCGAACCAAAAUGAGAGCGUACCUUUUGCAUAAUGGGUCACCAAGUUAACCUUAGAUGCGAGCUAAUCGCGUAGUUAAAACGAUGAUCAAUCAAAUGAAUUAGUGUCUAAAGUUAGACCCGAAGCUAGGUGAUCUUACUACAAUCAGGAGUAUAAAAGUCCGAACCGGUUAUUGUAGCAAAAAUAUCGGAGGAAUUGUGGUAAGUAUAGUGAAAGACAAAACUGACCUAGAUAGCUGGUUUUCUGCGAAACCUAUAAUAGUAGGCAAUUUAAGUAACAUUUUAGCAGGUACAGAACUUCAUCUCAGACAAGGUGUAUUAAAUUUGAUUAAAAGUUUUAGUCGGUUUUACCGCGAACUUUUAGUUAAAUCGACAUCUUACUUUGUACAUAUCGGGGGAUCGUAGAGAUUUUAUCGGUGAGUUUGUAGACUCGAAAUGGCAAAAAUGAAUAUUAAAUUAUCAGACAUAGAAUGAUAAGGUUGUAUGUCAAAAGGGAAACAGCCCAGAACAAGAGUUAAGGUUCCGAAAUUAUUGUUAAGUGAAAUUAAGAAAGUUUUUAUUUAAGUCGACAAGGAGAUGGGCUUAGAAGCAGCCAUAAUUCAAAGACCUCGUAACAGAGCGCUUGUUAAUUUUUAAAGGCAUCGAAAAUUUAACGGAUCUAAACAAUAUACCGAUACCUUGUCCAUAACUGAUUAUAAAUUUAUAUUACAAGACGAUAAGUUUUGAAUUAUAAUCUUUUACUGGGGUAGCAGAACAUUGGGUAAACCUGCAGCAUUCCAUCGUUUUUACGAUGGAUGCGACUCCAUUGGAGAUGAUGAUAAUUAUAUCAUCACAGCAAACUCAAGAGAGAAUGGUGACAUGAGUAACAAAAAAGAAGUUCGAACAUAAGUUCGAACACUCGCCUAAAGCUUAUGGUUUAAUUAAAGUAACGGCCUCUAAGUUUUCACUUCCAAAGGUUGAAACGAUGAGAAAAUCUUAUUACUUAAAUGACAACAUUUUUAAAGUGAAAAGUGUGCAGGAAAAAUUAAGUAAUAUAUCUCUAUAUAUAAGAAAUGACUAUAUAAAGAUGAAAAAAAAACCGUACCUAGAAACUGUGACAAGUAAGCUAGUGUAGUAUACGAAGGCGUAAAUGAGCUAACAAUCAUAAAGGAACUCGGCAAACUAACUUCCGUAACUUAGGGAUAAGGAGGGCUCAUUCGUCCCGUGGGAUCUUUUAUUAUUACGGUAAUAAAAACUACGGGUAAGAAGGAAGAAGCAUGAAAUAUUGUUGUACGACUGUUUAAUUAAAACAAAGCACUUUGCAUACGACUUAAGUCUAAGUAUAGAGUGUGAUUUCUGCCCGGUGCCGGCUGGUUAACGAAAAUAACUAACUUUAAAAAGUUUGGUACUGUAGGAACCCCCGGUUAAUGGCGGCCUUAGCGUGAGGGUCCUAAGGUAGCGGAAUACCUUGACUGUUAAAUGCAGUCUUUGCAUGAAUGAUGUAACGAUACAACAGCUGUCUCUAUGAUUGACUCAGUGAAAUUGGCAUAACUGUGCAGAUACAGUUUACCUCUAGUUAGACGAGAAGACCCUAUGCAGCUUUACUGUUACUAAUUAUUAGGUACGGUUGGGGACAAAUAUCAGCAAAUAAGGUAAUUGAUAAGAUACAAAUGUAAUACCUUUAUUUGGGGAUCGUAUUGUGAGGAUUAUUUAAUCCCCGUCUUUUCUGUAAAAAGAAAAGAAUGUAACCUUAGAAAGGAAAAAUUGCUAGGAGACAGUUUAUGCGGGGCACAGACCCCAUAAAGAGUAAAUGGGUGUGUCCAACUAUGUUUUAUGUUUGUUUAGGCGUUUAUCGCCAAUAGAUGUAUCACUAAAUAAAAUAUUAGCAAAACUAAUAUUUGUUUGUUUGUAAUAGUAGAUAGCACGGCUAUACAGCUAGCUAUAUUCUAUCUUAUUUAUGUAUAGAUGUACAAGCCUAAGUAUAAGAGGCGUGAGUCUCUUAUAUUUAAUAAUUCUUGCUUUUCUGUAAAUAGAUGCUGUUGUUUCAGUAUAGAUUUGCAGGGUAUUAAGGAGGAGAAUUUUUUUU
rnacentral:rRNA from 1 species